rnacentral:rRNA from 1 species
AACGAACGCUGGCGGCGUGCUUAACACAUGCAAGUCGCGUGCGCAGUUUCCCUGUAGCAAUACGGGGGGAUGGGCGCACGGCGCACGGGUGCGUAACACGUGGGCAAUCUGCCCUCUGAUGGGGAAUAACCCCGCGAAAGCGGGGCUAAUUCCGCAUAACAUUCCCUGGACGAUGGUUUGGGGAUUCAAAGCCGUAAGGCGUCAGAGGAGGAGCCCGCGCCCGAUUAGCUAGUUGGUGAGGUAAUGGCUCACCAAGGCAAUGAUCGGUAGCUGGUCUGAGAGGAUGAUCAGCCACACUGGAACUGAGACACGGUCCAGACUCCUACGGGAGGCAGCAGAGGGGAAUCUUGCACAAUGGGCGAAAGCCUGAUGCAGCGACGCCGCGUGGGGGAUGAAGCUUUUCGGAGUGUAAACCCCUUUCGACCGGGAAGAAUGCCUCGCAAGAGGAGUGACGGUACCGGUAUAAGAAGCCCCGGCUAACUACGUGCCAGCAGCCGCGGUAAGACGUAGGGGGCCAGCGUUGUUCGGAAUUACUGGGUGUAAAGGGUUCGUAGGCGGUGUGGCAAGUUGGGAGUGAAAUCUCUGGGCUUAACCCAGAGGCUGCUUCCAAAACUGCUGUGCUUGAGUGUGGGAGAGGCGCGUGGAAUUGCAGGUGUAGCGGUGAAAUGCGUAGAUAUCUGCAGGAACACCCGUGGCGAAAGCGGCGCGCUGGACCACAACUGACGCUGAGGAACGAAAGCUAGGGGAGCAAACAAGAUUAGAUACCCUGGUAGUCCUAGCCCUAAACGAUCAGGACUUGGGGUGCCGCCCGUUCGGGCGUCGUCCCGGAGCUAACGCGUUAAGUCCUGCACCUGGGGAGUACGGUCGCAAGACUG